AUACGGAGGAUGCAAGCGUUAUCCGGAUUUAUUGGGUUUAAAGGGUGCGUAGGCGGUUUGCUAAGCGGGAGGUGAAAUGCCGGCGCUCAACGUCGGAAGUGCCUCCCGAACUGGUGGACUGGAAUGACUCUGCCGUGGGAGGAAUGUGUAGUGUAGCGGUGAAAUGCUUAGAGAUUACACAGAACACCGAUUGCGAAGGCAUCUCACGAAGGGUUGAUUGACGCUGAGGCACGAAAGCGUGGGGAUCAAACAGGAUUAGAUACCCUGGUAGUCCACGCAGUAAACGAUGAUGGCUAACCGCUGGUUUAUUCGGAUCAGUGGCCAAGCGAAAGCGAUAAGCCAUCCACCUGGGGAGUACGACCGCAGGGUUGAAACUCAAAUGAAUUGGCGGGG
rnacentral:rRNA from 1 species